rnacentral:rRNA from 1 species
AUUGAACGCUGGCGGCAUGCCUUACACAUGCAAGUCGAACGGCAGCACGGGUGCUUGCACCUGGUGGCGAGUGGCGAACGGGUGAGUAAUACAUCGGAACGUACCUUAUCGUGGGGGAUAACGCAGCGAAAGCUGUGCUAAUACCGCAUACGCCCUGAGGGGGAAAGCGGGGGAUCGAAAGACCUCGCGCGAUUAGAGCGGCCGAUGCCUGAUUAGCUUGUUGGUGGGGUAAAAGCCCACCAAGGCGACGGUCAGUAGCUGGUCUGAGAGGACGAUCAGCCACACUGGGACUGAGACACGGCCCAGACUCCUACGGGAGGCAGCAGUGGGGAAUUUUGGACAAUGGGGGCAACCCUGAUCCGGCAAUGCCGCGUGAGUGAAGAAGGCCUUCGGGUUGUAAAGCUCUUUUGUCAGGGAAGAAACACCGGCUCUAACACAGUCCGGGAAUGACGGUACCUGAAGAAUAAGCACCGGCUAACUACGUGCCAGCCGCCGCGGUAA